rnacentral:rRNA from 1 species
CGAAAACUUUCCAAUGCUGGCAACAGCGAUAAGGGAACCUCGAGUGCCAGGUUACAAAUCUGGCUGUCGAGAUGCCUAAAAAGCAUUUCAUAGCAAGGGCCGGGCAAGACCGGUGCCAGCCGCCGCGGUAACACCGGCGGCUCGAGUGGUAACCGUUAUUAUUUGGUCUAAAGGGUCUGUAGCCGGCCGGAUAAGUCUCUUGAGAAUUCUGGCAGCUUUACUGUCAGGCUUUCAGGAGGUACUGUCUGGCUCGAGGCCGGGAGAGGUGAGAGGUACUUCAGGGGUAGGGGUGAAAACUGGUAAUCCUUGAAGGACAACCAGUGGCGAAGGCGUCUCACCAGAACG